rnacentral:rRNA from 1 species
GACGAACGCUGGCGGCGUGCUUAACACAUGCAAGUCGAACGGAAAGGCCCUGCUUUUGUGGGGUGCUCGAGUGGCGAACGGGUGAGUAACACGUGAGUAACCUGCCCUUGACUUUGGGAUAACUUCAGGAAACUGGGGCUAAUACCGGAUAGGAGCUCCUGCUGCAUGGUGGGGGUUGGAAAGUUUCGGCGGUUGGGGAUGGACUCGCGGCUUAUCAGCUUGUUGGUGGGGUAGUGGCUUACCAAGGCUUUGACGGGUAGCCGGCCUGAGAGGGUGACCGGCCACAUUGGGACUGAGAUACGGCGCAGACUCCUACGGGAGGCAGCAGUGGGGAAUAUUGCACAAUGGGCGGAAGCCUGAUGCAGCAACGCCGCGUGCGGGAUGACGGCCUUCGGGUUGUAAACCGCUUUCGCAUGUGACGAAGCGUGAGUGACGGUAAUGGGUAAAGAAGCAACGGCUAACUACGUG